rnacentral:rRNA from 1 species
GAUGAACGCUGGCGGCGUGCCUAAUACAUGCAAGUCGAGCGAACAGAUGAGAAGCUUGCUUCUCUGAUGUUAGCGGCGGACGGGUGAGUAACACGUGGGUAACCUACCUAUAAGACUGGGAUAACUCCGGGAAACCGGGGCUAAUACCGGAUAAUAUUUUGAACCGCAUGGUUCAAUAGUGAAAGACGGUUUCGGCUGUCACUUAUAGAUGGACCCGCGCCGUAUUAGCUAGUUGGUAAGGUAACGGCUUACCAAGGCGACGAUACGUAGCCGACGUGAGAGGGGGAUCGGCCACACUGGAACUGAGACACGGUCCAGACUCCUACGGGAGGCAGCAGUAGGGAAUCUUCCGCAAUGGGCGAAAGCCUGACGGAGCAACGCCGCGUGAGUGAUGAAGGUCUUCGGAUUGUAAAACUCUGUUGUUAGGGAAGAACAAAUUUGUUAGUAACUGAACAAGUCUUGACGGUACCUAACCAGAAAGCCACGGCUAACUACGUGCCAGCCGCCGCGGUAA